rnacentral:rRNA from 2 species
CCAUACCUGCAAGUCGAGCGGACAGAUGGGAGCUUGCUCCCUGAAGUCAGCGGCGGACGGGUGAGUAACACGUGGGCAACCUGCCUGUAAGACUGGGAUAACUCCGGGAAACCGGGGCUAAUACCGGAUAAUUCUUUCCCUCACAUGAGGGAAAGCUGAAAGAUGGUUUCGGCUAUCACUUACAGAUGGGCCCGCGGCGCAUUAGCUAGUUGGUGAGGUAACGGCUCACCAAGGCAACGAUGCGUAGCCGACCUGAGAGGGUGAUCGGCCACACUGGGACUGAGACACGGCCCAGACUCCUACGGGAGGCAGCAGUAGGGAAUCUUCCGCAAUGGACGAAAGUCUGACGGAGCAACGCCGCGUGAGUGAUGAAGGUUUUCGGAUCGUAAAACUCUGUUGUUAGGGAAGAACAAGUACCGGAGUAACUGCCGGUGCCUUGACGGUACCUAACCAGAAAGCCACGGCUAACUACGUGCCAGCAGCCGCGGUAAUACGUAGGUGGCAAGCGUUGUCCGGAAUUAUUGGGCGUAAAGCGCGCGCAGGCGGUUCCUUAAGUCUGAUGUGAAAGCCCCCGGCUCAACCGGGGAGGGUCAUUGGAAACUGGGGAACUUGAGUGCAGAAGAGAAGAGUGGAAUUCCACGUGUAGCGGUGAAAUGCGUAGAGAUGUGGAGGAACACCAGUGGCGAAGGCGACUCUUUGGUCUGUAACUGACGCUGAAGCGCGAAAGCGUGGGGAGCAAACAGGAUUAGAUACCCUGGUAGUCCACGCCGUAAACGAUGAGUGCUAAGUGUUAGAGGGUUUCCGCCCUUUAGUGCUGCAGCAAACGCAUUAAGCACUCCGCCUGGGGAGUACGGCCGCAAGGCUGAAACUCAAAGGAAUUGACGGGGGCCCGCACAAGCGGUGGAGCAUGUGGUUUAAUUCGAAGCAACGCGAAGAACCUUACCAGGUCUUGACAUCUCCUGACAACCCUAGAGAUAGGGCGUUCCCCUUUCGGGGACAGGAUGACAGUUGGCUCAUGGGGAUCGUCAGCUCGGUGCGUGAUAUGUUUGGUCAAGUCCCGAACGAGCGCACCCUGUUAUGUCCCGGCAUGAGCGGGACCUCUAAUGACAGCUGCAAGCAUUCGAUUGGGGAUGAAGUGAAGCCUCCCGGCGACAAGACGGGGGAAGGUGGGGCUGACGUCAAGUCAUCAUGUCCCAAAUGACCUGGGCUAAACCCGUAAA